UGAUAAGGUCCGUGUUCGAAAGGGAAACAGCCCAGACCACCAGCUAAGGUCCCAAAAUAUAUGUUAAGUGGAAAAGGAUGUGGCGUUGCCCAGACAACUAGGAUGUUGGCUUAGAAGCAGCCAUCAUUUAAAGAGUGCGUAAUAGCUCACUAGUCGAGUGACACUGCGCCGAAAAUGUACCGGGGCUAAACAUAUUACCGAAGCUGUGGAUUGUCCUUUGGACAAUGGUAGGAGAGCGUUCUAAGGGCGUUGAAGCAUGAUCGUAAGGACAUGUGGAGCGCUUAGAAGUGAGAAUGCCGGUGUGAGUAGCGAAAGACGGGUGAGAAUCCCGUCCACCGAUUGACUAAGGUUUCCAGAGGAAGGCUCGUCCGCUCUGGGUUAGUCGGGUCCUAAGCUGAGGCCGACAGGCGUAGGCGAUGGAUAACAGGUUGAUAUUCCUGUACCAC
rnacentral:rRNA from 1 species